AGCAGGAUCAAUAUCAGCAUUUGUGGUUUUGAUCCGGAGAGGGCUACGGUUUGCACAACCCCCUACCCAUGGGGCGUGUCCGCUAGUCUGAUCGCUGGACCUUCCCCGGAAGGCGGAGGCGACCCCUCUCCACCGUCGGCCCCCCCCCCCCAACCAAACGGCACUUCACAGUGGAUCUCUUGGCUCGUGCAUUGAGGAAGACCGCGGCAAAAAGCGAUAUGCGCGAUGAAUUGCAGAACUACUGCGAAUCGUAGGUCGUUGAAUGCACAUGGUGCCUUCAGGGAAACUCCUGAAGGUGUGUGCGGCUCAGUGUCGCCUUCGAAUACCUCCACCAACAGUGGGAUCUUCUUUCACCGGAAACUCACUCGGGGAGGCGAUGUGGUGGGAAGGGUGUCAUCACCCUGUCUCGCUGAAGUACCAAUGGUGCCCUGAUUCUGGUUGUUUGGAUGCAAGCAAGACCUCAAAAACCAUGCUUCGCCUCCGCAGCUCGGAAUCGGCCCAGAAGAAAAGGUUUGCACCUUUUCUCUCUUACGUUGACCUGAGCCGUGCAAAAGAACGGGCUGAACUUAAGCAUAUCAAUAAGCCCAGGAAAAGAAAGCAACUGCGAUGGCCACAGUAACGGCGAGUGAACAGGCCAUAGCCCAUCCCAGAAGCAGCGUGGUGGCUUCGGCCGUCAGGCCAUGCUGCGUUGUAGGGUAAGCACCUAUCGGCGAAAGGGUCCCAGACAGGAAGGUUGCCUGGAACGGCACUGCCACGGAGCGUGAUAGCCGCGUUGCACUGUCUGCGGGUUCGGUAAAGCUGGUGGGAGGCAAGAGUCGGGCUGUUUGGGAGUGCAGCUCUAAUUGUGAGGUAUACCCCUCAUAAGGCUAAAUAUUGGCACGAGACCGAUAGCGAACAAGUAGAGUGAUCGAAAGAUGCAAAGAACUUUGAAAAGAGAGUUAAAAGUGCGUGAAACUGUGGAGUGGUAAGGGAUGGAGACCCAUCCAAAAACGGGGUGUGUGCUGUUCAAGCCUCCCCCGAGCAGCUCGAGUUCGUCGGCCCCCAUCGGCCAUGCCUGAGCUGCCUCACUUCGGUGUGGCAGUCGGCGUGGUGUCUUGGAGUGGUGGUCGGUUGACCCGCAGGCAUGCGAGGGAGUGCCUCCUAGGGGUUUCACGUGCGUAACGCAUGCGGCGAGUGGGUACUUGCUCUCGGGCGGGUGCCUUCCUCUGCGAUUCGCCAUAUGCGGGAUGCGCGGCCCUAACGAUGCACCCUCGCUGAUUGCUGCUCUGUAAAUGGUCUCCAUUCACCCGUCUUGAAACACGGACCAAGGAGUCUAGCGUUUGUGCGAGUGUUGUGGUGAACGAAACCACAGCGCGGAUUGAAAGAGACUUACCUCUGAUCCAUGCCUUCGGGUGUGGUUGCAAGAGGGGCCGUUCCUAAUUGACUGGAAAAGGAUAUGAGUUGAAGCACAGGCGCUGGGACCCGAAAGAUGGUGAUCUUUUCCUGAAUAGAGCGAAGACGGAGGAAACUUCGUUGGAGGCUCGUAGCGGUACUGACGUGCAAAUCGUUCGUCGAAUUUGGGUAAAGGGGCGAAAGACUCAUCGAACUGUCUAGUAGCUGGUUCCCUC
rnacentral:misc_RNA from 1 species